GCUCCCUGCUUCGGCAGUUAUACCACGAGCUGCCAUGCCCCGCCUCUGAUGGACUCUUACCCCACUGGACCCGCCAGUUAAAAUUAACUCUUUAUUAGUUGUUUCUGUCAUGGUGUUUAGUCACAGCAGCAGAAGAAUGACUGAUAGCGUCACCUGUUUUAGAUGCGUGCUUUGUGAUCCUAGGGGACCAUGUAGCCAGACAUCUCAAACACCGAUGCGUCCCUGGGUAGCAGCUUUUCUCUCAAGGGCUUUGUGGUACAUUUAAGGCGUUGUAAAUCUCUUAUUUCUUUAUGCUGAGAGAUUAACUUUGUUCCCUCUUGACUUGACUGGGAAUUGACCCGAGACUUGGUAACCAACACUCUGUGGUAGAAAAGAAGUUUGGUUGGUUCUGAGUUGACGAAGCAUACAACUUCCUCUUCCUCUCAGAUCCCUGGACACCCCCUCCCCUGCCCCCCCCAAUAAAAGAACUUAAGGUCUUGCUGAGGCCACAGGCCACAGGAAGAGCAUCAGAGAACUGGAGGCAUACUUGUAGAAGCCAUCUUUGAUGUCCAGGUCAGUCAGACCUCCAAACCCAGCUGACACCCGACUGCAGUCUAAUCAGAGACUCGAGGCUAGAACCACCCAGUGCCCUCCCUCCCCCCAGCCAACCCACCAGGCCAACUCACUUCGGCAGGUGGGUCUGGCCUGUUCUACCCCUUGGUUCCUGAACCAGCUGCACUGCCAAAGAUUCAGUUUGGCUAAAUCCAACAACAGAAAACUCCAGACAGCAGAGUUUUAAACACCCAGAAGUUCUCUCAGAGAAGUCUGGGUGAGCAGUUCAGGCUGGAACACUGGCCCAGCAUGUGAAGGACACUAUACUCCAAUGACAUCAGCCUUGUGGGUCAAAAUAGCACUUCAGGCAGCAGGGUAGAAGAAGGCAUGAGGAAAACUAAAGGUGCUUUCUCCUGAGGGAGAUUGUUUAAAGCCGCCCUACGUCUCGUAGCUGCAUUCAACUGGCCCGGGUGUGUCUCAUCUUGUCUCCUUGAAACAGACGCUGCAAAAUGCUUGCUAUAGAUCCUGCCACUUUGGGAACAUAGAGACCUGGAAACUCCAGCGGGUGCUCCCAGAACCAGAUCUGUAACCUGUAACACUGGGAUCAAAGGAAACUUGAGAGAAGACCUUGGGUGAGACAGAAACGGGGCAGCCCCAGGCAAACAUUCCCAGGCAUCUUCAAAAUGGUUCUGCUACAGUGUCCUCUGGAAUCAUUCAGUCAUCUGGAAAACGCAGAGCUGUGGGAACACUCAGCAGCACACGGAAGCGGGCUUCUCUCCACUGCUCAGAUCCACAGGUGGCUUUCAUUCUCGCCACAAAACUGGAGUCAACUGAAAAGCCGGAGGAAACAAGGACGCUCUGCCACUUAUCAGAAAGAGCAGGCAUCCCUGCGACCACCUUUAAAUCCAGAGGCAGAGGCUGAGCCAGCCACCAGGACUCCAUAUGGUGAGGUUCUGUCAAAAAAUAAAGAUACGAAUCAUG